rfam:Ovis aries breed Texel chromosome 4, whole genome shotgun sequence.
UCCCUGGUGGUCCAGUGACUAAGACUUUGUGCUUCCAACGUAGGGGGACUGGGUUCAAUUCCUGGUCAGGGAA